ACGUCCAAGCAGUGAGAUUGAGUGUUAGGCAAAUCCGGCACUCUUAAGAUUGAGCUGUGAUGGGGAGAGGAACUUGUUCCUCGAGUCGUUGAUUUCACACUGCCGAGAAAAGCCUCUAGCUAGAAUAACGGUGCCCGUACCGCAAACCGACACAGGUAGUCAAGAUGAGAAUUCUAAGGUGAGCGAGCGAACUCUCGUUAAGGAACUCGGCAAAAUGACCCCGUAACUUCGGGAGAAGGGGUGCUCUUUGAGGUUCACGCUUCGAAGAGCCGCAGUGAAUAGGCCCAAGCGACUGUUUAUCAAAAACACAGGUCUCUGCUAAACCGUAAGGUGACGUAUAGGGGCUGACGCCUGCCCGGUGCUGGAAGGUUAAGAGGAGUGGUUAGCGCAAGCGAAGCUACGAAUCGAAGCCCCAGUAAACGGCGGCCGUAACUAUAACGGUCCUAAGGUAGCGAAAUUCCUUGUCGGGUAAGUUCCGACCCGCACGAAAGGCGUAACGAUUUGGGCACUGUCUCAACGAGAGACUCGGUGAAAUCAUAGUACCGGUGAAGAUGCCGGUUACCCGCGACAGGACGGAAAGACCCCGUGGAGCUUUACUGUAGCCUGAUAUUGAAAUUCGGUACAGUUUGUACAGGAUAGGUAGGAGCCUUAGAAGCGUGAGCGCUAGCUUACGUGGAGGCAUUGGUGGGAUACUACCCUAAUUGUAUUGGAUUUCUAACCCGCAGCACUUAUCGUGCUGGGAGACAGUGUCAGGCGGGCAGUUUGACUGGGGCGGUCGCCUCCUAAAGAGUAACGGAGGCGCUCAAAGGUUCCCUCAGAAUGGUUGGAAAUCAUUCAUAGAGUGUAAAGGCAUAAGGGAGCUUGACUGCGAGACCUACAAGUCGAGCAGGGUCGAAAGACGGA
rnacentral:rRNA from 1 species